rnacentral:lncRNA from 1 species
CAGUCCUGGCUAGCUCCCAUACUUCCCCUUCCAGCCAAACAACUUCCAACACCUUCCUGCCCAAUGUGCCACACCCGCUAGUUCACAUUUUCUUUGCCAAGUACUCCCAGCUACCAUUCACUCUGCCCAACUGCAAUUAGUCUAGAGGCCCCAAAGCUAGCUGUUUCUAGCUGGGGCCCAUUUGCACCAAAGGCCUUCAUCACAAAAAUAGUAUGGCCACGAGGUCCCCAGAGAAGUUAUCUGGAGGAGAGCGGCAACAGGAGAAGAGAGAACGAAGGCAAGAAAGCUAGCACGGCCACAUGAACAAAAACAAAACAGGCUCUACAGGUGUUCCUCCUCUCUGACCUCUGUUGCUGCAGCUGACUGGAUGCUUUCGGAGGGUAGAGAGAAGAUGAUGAAUAGGAAAGUGUGGAGGAAGGGCCUGGGAAGAAAUAAGAACAAUCCAUUCAGGGAAAAUUGCUUCCAUGCCUUGGCCCAGCUGACCUGCUUCAACAAGUCUACUCAACAGUAUAACCGCCUAGGAAUAGGAAUCUGGAAUCUGCGGGAGAAACGACCAUCUUCUUUUCCUGCCCCUGUUUGAAUGAUACACAGGAGGGCCAGUGGGACUGUAGAUGGUUGAGAAACAACCGCAGGAAAAGCAGAAAAGCCAUGUCAGAAGUGGAAUAGCCCAAGAUACUGACACCAAUUCCCAAGACAUCACAACCUACCCGAAGCACCACUGCCUAUGGAUAGCAAAGGUCUGACCAUAUCACCAGGCCCUCAUGGGCUAGAAUCCCAUCCUUGAUCAUACCCCUAAUCUACCACCACUCCCUGCAACGCCUUCACCAACCCGAGAGCCUAAUACCCUCCCUGACCCAUAGCUAUCUCCUGGUUUGAGUCACCAGGUCCAAGGUAAUGCAAGAGGGUGUUGCUACGGAUGGUACUCCAAGCUUCAGGUGUGUUGAGACUAGCAAGAUAGUAGGUAAGGACAGCAUGGGGGUGGGGUGCAGUGUGUGCUGGACGAUGAAAAGCUGAGAAAACAAAGAGGAGGAUCCCACAGGCAACAGCUCUCAGAACACCUCUAUAUUCACCAUAUCCAAGAAACUUGAUGGUAUAUACAUCUCUUCAGAGGACACCAAAAUGCAAAAUCAAAAUCUUACUUCAUCUGGACCUCACCUGCUGGAAAGCUGGGGAAGGAGUUCCAUAACAUGACACUGAGGAAAAAAAAGCAAGAAAAAGCACUCUGAAGCCCAGACUUGGGGGAAGACUGCAGAUUUCUGGCUAUCAUGGUAGUGUUCACCAUCAAAACCCUCAGAUUUCAGACGAAAAGAACAAGACUGCUUCAAAUUGCCAAUCCCAGACAAACAGCUGUUAAUACUGGAUAGCCAAGGAGAAAGGUUCCUUCAGCAUCUCAUCAUGCAGUGUCCUCAGUGCACAUAAGACACCAGAGAAGAUAUGUGUGACUCUACUCAGAAAAGCUUAGUAAAGACUUGUUGGUUAAAUUGGCACAAACAAGACAGAGUAGAUUAUGAGUUCUAAACUUGGGACAUGGCUCUGUCUCCACUAGGCAAUGGGUCUGCUCUCAGUGGGGCAAGGAAGGAAUAUUUAGAGAUUUCCCCAUCCCCAUGGCUCCAGACUUCUAGGAGAAAGAUUCAGGUCAAAAAGCCUUAAACUGUGUGUCUUCAACUGAUGGUCUAUAUAAGAGGUUCAAAUUUUAAGAAACGUUUACGAAUCUCUACUAUUUACCAAGCCUUGCACUAGCCAUGCUAGACACAGUAGCUCAACACACUCACAACUCUGUGACAUCCUUUUUCUGAUCUGUAAGAUCAGAAUCAGGCAAGGUACUUCAUCCCCCCUAGACUUACUCCUACAAAUCUGGAGUCACACUGACCCUGUGGGAUUAUGGUCACACACAUCAGACGUGUGACCCUGGGACUUUCGGUUGAACUCUUGGAACCUCAGCUUUCCAUAACAGAUGGUUAUGAGGAUUAAAUGAAAGACCACAUUGAUAGAAAAAGCUUAGCAUUGGGCCUGACAUAUAAUAGAUGUUUAAUAAACACAAGUUUGUUCCUUCCCUCCCAUUCCAGAUCCGGUGUUUUUGAGAACUGUGUUACGGUCAGGUGAUGAUAACUGGGGCAUGUCUGCUGCCCUGAAUAAAUAAGAGCUUAUCUUUCUAUCUCGAGUCCACUCUAAGUGGUCAGAACUUGAGUAGCACUAAACAUAUACCUGUUGACUGACUGGCUCAUAUUGGGUGUUGUGGAAGGAGCACAUAGCACCUGGGAGCCCAGAGGCCUGGGUGGAAGCUCUGGCUCCUACCCUAGCUUGUUGAAUGGUCUUGACCUCUCUGGCCCUCAGAUUUCUCAUCUGUAAAACAAGCGGAAUAAAUCAUACAUUCUGAUUCU